ACGAACGCUGGCGGCGUGCCUAAUACAUGCAAGUCGAACGCUUCUUUCCUCCCGAGUGCUUGCACUCAAUUGGAAAGAGGAGUGGCGGACGGGUGAGUAACACGUGGGUAACCUACCCAUCAGAGGGGGAUAACACUUGGAAACAGGUGCUAAUACCGCAUAACAGUUUAUGCCGCAUGGCAUAAGAGUGAAAGGCGCUUUCGGGUGUCGUUGAUGGAUGGACCCGCGGUGCAUUAGCUAGUUGGUGAGGUAACGGCUCACCAAGGCCACGAUGCAUAGCCGACCUGAGAGGGUGAUCGGCCACACUGGGACUGAGACACGGCCCAGACUCCUACGGGAGGCAGCAGUAGGGAAUCUUCGGCAAAGGACGAAAGUCUGACCGAGCAACGCCGCGUGAGUGAAGAAGGUUUUCGGAUCGUAAAACUCUGUUGUUAGAGAAGAACAAGGACGUUAGUAACUGAACGUCCCCUGACGGUAUCUAACCAGAAAGCCACGGCUAACUACGUG
rnacentral:rRNA from 1 species